AUCCGUUGUAGUCUAGUUGGUCAGGAUAUUCGGCUCUCACCCGAAAGACCCGGGUUCAAGUCCCGGCAACGGAAAUUUCG